GCUUCUGGCCGUACUACCCAGAACACACCUCAUCUCAUCAGCUCUUGGUAGCUAAGCAGGGUUGGGCCUGGUUAGUACUUGGAUGGGAGACCACCUGGGAAUACCAGGUGCUGUAAGCU
ensembl:rRNA 5S_rRNA 5S ribosomal RNA